AACGAUUGGAAGAGUAAUAACAUUAACAACUUACUGAUGUAAAAAAAUAUUGGAAAUGACCAUUGUGAAUGACGAAAUUGAAAAAUCAAACAUUGUGAACAAAAACUAGCAACUAAGUUUAGGAUGGAUGCGUGUGAGAUGAAUGAAUGGAUGAUGUUUAAAGACGACACGGUGAAAGGUAAAACGUGUCUAAAGUUAAAUAAUAAUUAUGACAAUUGUGCAAACCCCAAUUAUCACAAAAGCGGGAGUAUUGUAACGAUUCAAGUGUACCGGCGAAACUUGAAACACGGACUGUAUAUAAUUCAACUCAAGGGGUCGAUCACGUGGUGUGCUUGUUAGCCUUACAACUCUUACAACAGUCGUCUUGGAGUGGUGGUCUCUCUCCAACUCUUUCCUAGACAAGUCGUUAACGGAGCACGAGGUGCCGAAGAUCUUCUGAAUAAAAUGUGCUGUAAAACUAUGGGCAAUGUGACUAACGAUUUAAUACAAAUCGCAAAAAAUAUCGUUAUUAACGAAGAUCCUCGCAGUGGACCAGUAAUGAAAACCAAUAAUCUACACAUACGAUAAAAAUCGAUCCAUAGAUUACCGAAACCUCCGGCCGGAGUUCAUCACGAUGCAACGGGUACAUCGCCAUACUUUUAACACCGUCCGCUGAUGAGACACACAGCAUGAAGAUAACAGCUUAUUCGUCGUAUCGUUGGCGAAACAACGCAACGAGAAGAACAAAAGGGGGAAGUAGGAGAAAAGCGAUUCCCAUUACUCGACAACAAAAGUUGAUCCUGCACUCGGAUCUUAAAACCAGAGUAAAAAAAAAACACGGCGCCAACUGUCGGUGAAAAAAUUCUAGACUUGAUUUAAAAAAUGAAAUAAAUAAAGUAAAAU
rnacentral:lncRNA from 1 species